rnacentral:piRNA from 1 species
UAUUAGCAGUAGAGCAAAUUUUGAGUCAACA